rnacentral:rRNA from 1 species
UACGGAGGGUGCAAGCGUCAUCCGGAUUUACUGGGUUUAAAGGGUGCGUAGGCUGGCAUGUAAGUCAGUGGUGAAAUACCGGAGCUUAACUUCGGAACUGCCAUUGAUACUAUAUGUCCUGAAUAUUGUGGAGGUAAGCGGAAUAUGUCAUGUAGCGGUGAAAUGCAUAGAUAUGACAUAGAACACCGAUUGCGGAGGCAGCUUGCUACGCAAAUAUUGACGCUGAGGCACGAAAGCGUGGGGAGCAAACAGG